GAUGAACGCUAGCUACAGGCUUAACACAUGCAAGUCGAGGGGAAACGAUAUUGGAAGCUUGCUUCCGAUAGGCGUCAACCGGCGCACGGGUGAGUAACGCGUAUCCAACCUGCCCAUCACUUGGGGAUAACCUUGCGAAAGUAAGACUAAUACCCAAUGAUAUCUCAAGAAGACAUCUGAAUGAGAUUAAAGAUUUAUCGGUGAUGGAUGGGGAUGCGUCUGAUUAGCUUGUUGGCGGGGUAACGGCCCACCAAGGCGACGAUCAGUAGGGGUUCUGAGAGGAAGGUCCCCCACAUUGGAACUGAGACACGGUCCAAACUCCUACGGGAGGCAGCAGUGAGGAAUAUUGGUCGAUGGGCGAGAGCCUGAACCAGCCAAGUAGCGUGCAGGAUGACGGCCCUAUGGGUUGUAAACUGCUUUUAUAAGGGAAUAAAGUGAGCCUCGUGAGGCUUUUUGCAUGUACCUUAUGAAUAAGGACCGGCUAAUUCCGUGCCAGCCGCCGCGGUAA
rnacentral:rRNA from 1 species